GAGGGAUUAAAAGAGGAAGGAUGGUGCGUUCCAUUAGGAAAAGAAGAAACCCGCUUGAAUUGAGCAUAUGAAAAUGGUGAUGUAAAGGAAAGUAAAGAAGAAAUCCCUCAUCUCUGGUCAGGUCUUGAUCUCCGCUUUCCCUUUAGGCUUGUUAUGUUUGGGGCUGGGCUCUAAUUCCUUUGUUUCUGUUUCUACAGAAAAGGCAGCGAGAUCGGGAUCAACUACCACGAUGUUUUUUGGUGCUUCAUGUUUAACCAUCUUACGAAUUAUUCAAGAGAUUUCACGUACCAAGUCAGCAUAUCGAUUUGAUUCCAUUGAGAGUUGAUACUUCUUUGCUUAACAGCAAUAUAACCAAUUCUAGAUUGGAUCCAGCAUUAUUAAGAUUUC
rnacentral:misc_RNA from 1 species